rnacentral:rRNA from 1 species
GACGAACGCUGGCGGCGUGCUUAACACAUGCAAGUCGAACGGAAAGGCCCUGCUUUUGUGGGGUGCUCGAGUGGCGAACGGGUGAGUAACGCGUGAGUAACCUGCCCUUGACUUUGGGAUAACUUCAGGAAACUGGGGCUAAUACCGGAUAGGAGCUCCUGCUGCAUGGUGGGGGUUGGAAAGUUUCGGCGGUUGGGGAUGGACUCGCGGCUUAUCAGCUUGUUGGUGGGGUAGUGGCUUACCAAGGCUUUGGCGGGUAGCCGGCCUGAGAGGGUGACCGGCCACAUUGGGACUGAGAUACGGCCCAGACUCCUACGGGAGGCAGCAGUGGGGAAUAUUGCACAAUGGGCGGAAGCCUGAUGCAGCAACGCCGCGUGCGGGAUGACGGCCUUCGGGUUGUAAACCGCUUUCGCCUGUGACGAAGCGUGAGUGACGGUAAUGGGUAAAGAAGCACCGGCUAACUACGUG